GUCUUCUGGCUGGAGAGAAGAGUAGGCCCUCAGUGGACGUAGAUGAAGUUCUCUGACUUCUGAUAGGAGAAAUAUUCUCUGCAAGAUCUUGCUGCGGUUCAUUGCCCGGCUUCCGCGCUGGUACUCCUGUUUGCCUCUCCCAACUGGGGAUCACCAUCAACUGUCGACGUUUGGAUCCUCUUGCGCAGGGCUGGGCAAUUAUUUUCUACAAGGGGCCACAUGAAAAAGCUGAUCUGUGUUGGAGGGCCGAGCCAAAUGCGUCUCCAGCCACUCCAGGACAGUGUUCAGCUCCCCCACUGCCUUCUUUGCCGCCUGGUUUAUCUGAAGCUGCUCAGCGUUAAGGUGAAGGAGAGAGGAGCAAGAGAAAAGAAGAAGCAGAGAGAUUAGCGUGAAUAUUCACAGACUAUGACUGUGAGUAAAGGCUUUUCUAAUGGUUUCGUUUUCCCUUAACCCCACUUAAGAAAACAAGAAAUAAAUACAAUGGGGUUCUUAUUUAUGGCCUGAAACAUUCAACGUGUUUUUAAGAAAAUAAAAACCGUAUGUUUCAUAAUUUUUCAUUUAACUAUCAGAGCAGACUGUGUAGCAUUUGUGACAACAAAAAUUGUGGGACAUUCAGAAAUACAGUUAGCACCACCUGCUGUCAGUUGACAUGUAGGACACAAAACACUGAAUUUCAUUCAGGUGAGUAGUU